rnacentral:rRNA from 1 species
AGAGUUUGAUCCUGGCUCAGGAUGAACGCUGGCGGCGUGCUUAACACAUGCAAGUCGAGCGAAGCACUUAAGUUUGAUUCUUCGGAUGAAGACUUUUGUGACUGAGCGGCGGACGGGUGAGUAACGCGUGGGUAACCUGCCUCAUACAGGGGGAUAACAGUUAGAAAUGAUUGCUAAUACCGCAUAAGACCACAGGGUCGCACGACCCGGUGGUAAAAACUCCGGUGGUAUGAGAUGGACCCGCGUCUGAUUAGCUAGUUGGUGGGGUAACGGCUCACCAAGGCGACGAUCAGUAGCCGACCUGAGAGGGUGACCGGCCACAUUGGGACUGAGACACGGCCCAAACUCCUACGGGAGGCAGCAGUGGGGAAUAUUGCACAAUGGGCGAAAGCCUGAUGCAGCGACGCCGCGUGAAGGAUGAAGUAUUUCGGUAUGUAAACUUCUAUCAGCAGGGAAGAAAAUGACGGUACCUGACUAAGAAGCCCCGGCUAACUACGUGCCAGCAGCCGCGGUAAUACGUAGGGGGCAAGCGUUAUCCGGAUUUACUGGGUGUAAAGGGAGCGUAGACGGCAUGGCAAGUCUGAAGUGAAAGCCCGGGGCUCAACCCCGGGACUGCUUUGGAAACUGUCAGGCUAGAGUGCUGGAGAGGUAAGUGGAAUUCCUAGUGUAGCGGUGAAAUGCGUAGAUAUUAGGAGGAACACCAGUGGCAAGGCGGCUUACUGGACGGUAACUGACGUUGAGGCUCGAAAGCGUGGGGAGCAAACAGGAUUAGAUACCCUGGUAGUCCACGCGGUAAACGAUGAAUGCUAGGGGUCGGG